rnacentral:rRNA from 1 species
AACGAACGCUGGCGGCAGGCUUAACACAUGCAAGUCGAGCGCCCCGCAAGGGGAGCGGCAGACGGGUGAGUAACGCGUGGGAACGUACCCUUUGCUACGGAAUAGCUCCGGGAAACUGGAAUUAAUACCGUAUGUGCCCUACGGGGGAAAGAUUUAUCGGCAAAGGAUCGGCCCGCGUUGGAUUAGCUAGUUGGUGGGGUAAUGGCCUACCAAGGCGACGAUCCAUAGCUGGUCUGAGAGGAUGAUCAGCCACAUUGGGACUGAGACACGGCCCAAACUCCUACGGGAGGCAGCAGUGGGGAAUAUUGGACAAUGGGCGCAAGCCUGAUCCAGCCGUGCCGCGUGAGUGAUGAAGGCCUUAGGGUUGUAAAGCUCUUGCACCGGAGAAGAUAAUGACGGUAUCCGGAGAAGAAGCCCCGGCUAACUUCGUGCCAGCCGCCGCAGUAAUAC